rnacentral:rRNA from 1 species
GAGUUUGAUCAUGGCUCAGAUUGAACGCUGGCGGCGUGUUUCACACAUGCAAGUCGUGCGAGAAAGGGGACUUCGGUCCCUGAGUAGAGCGGCGCACGGGUGAGUAACGCGUGGAUAAUCUCCCCAGAAGUUCGGGAUAACGGCGGGAAACUGCCGCUAAUACCGGAUACGCUCCAAUUUCGGUUGGGGGAAAGGCGGCCUCUGUUUACAAGCUGUCGCUUCUGGAUGAGUCCGCGUCCCAUUAGCUUGUUGGUGGGGUAAUGGCCUACCAAGGCUACGAUGGGUAGCUGGUCUGAGAGGAUGAUCAGCCACACUGGAACUGAAACACGGUCCAGACUCCUACGGGAGGCAGCAGUGGGGAAUAUUGCGCAAUGGGGGAAACCCUGACGCAGCGACGCCGUGUGAGGGAUGAAGGCUUUCGGGUCGUAAACCUCUGUCGGGAGGGAAGAACCUUCCAGGUCUGAAUAAGGCUUGGAACUGACGGUACCUCCAAAGGAAGCACCGGCUAACUCCGUGCCAGCAGCCGCGGUAAUACGGAGGGUGCAAGCGUUAAUCGGAAUCACUGGGCGUAAAGCGCGCGUAGGCGGUCUUUUAAGUCGGACGUGAAAGCCCUCGGCUCAACCGGGGAACUGCGUUCGAAACUGGGAGACUUGAGUCCUGGAGAGGGUGGCGGAAUUCCGGGUGUAGGAGUGAAAUCCGUAGAUAUCCGGAGGAACACCGGUGGUGAAGGCGGCCACCUGGACAGGUACUGACGCUGAGGCGCGAAAGCGUGGGGAGCAAACGGGAUUAGAUACCCUGGU